rnacentral:tRNA from 1 species
GGCCGAGUGGCGGAAUGGUAGACGCUCGGGACUUAAAAUCCCGUGGGCGAUAAGCCCGUGCCGGUUCGAGUCCGGCCUCGGCUA